UGAUAUUUUUUUUCCUACCACACAGGACGAAGUUAGAGACAAGUAAAGAAGAGUUGACGAGCAGUGAGGCCCUCACAACCACAAUGAGUGAAGACAACUCCCUCCUACUUCCCUGCAGCAACAUCUCCAUGCAUUACAGAUGAAGAUACUGCUCACAAACUCAGAACACAGUGAGAAACUUCUGGUGGAGAACCUGUCGUUGAUAAAGUAAAGGCAGCUGAGUCAAGAAAAGUAUCGAGUCAAGCAGCCCAGCUUCACACAGAUGAAGAAGAUGCAUCAAAGAAAGACAAGGAGCCUCAGAAAGAGGAAAAAGUGAAAGGAAAAGAAAGAAGCGGUUCAAAGGAACCCAAAGAAAAGAAGAGUUCCAAUAAGACAAAUGUUUGUGAAGACCAGGGGAAAGAUUCUACCACUUGCCCUGUUGACGAUUCCUCUGCCAAGUCCACAGAUCCACAAGCAACUGUUUUCAUGCCAAGUGAAUCUCUUGUAGCAGAGGAAGGCCAGACUGACAUUGACAGUUCAACCUUGAAAGAAAGUGUCAGCUCAGAUAAUGCUGACAGCGAGUAAAUUUCGUAACUUUUUGUAGAGGUAAUGUUAAAGAUUUUAAAAAGAUAUAAAGUUUAAAGUUCAUCAUGAAUACCCAGUAGCCACACUGUUAUUUUUACUUCAUGUCUAGAUAGUGUGUAUUUAUCUCUCUCUCUCUCUCUCUCUCUCUCUCUCUCUCUCUCUC